GACGAACGCUGGCGGCGUGCUUAACACAUGCAAGUCGAACGGAAAGGCCCUGCUUGCAGGGUACUCGAGUGGCGAACGGGUGAGUAACACGUGGGUGAUCUGCCCUGCACUUCGGGAUAAGCCUGGGAAACUGGGUCUAAUACCGGAUAGGAGCCAUUUUUAGUGUGAUGGUUGGAAAGUUUUUUUCGGUGUAGGAUGAGCUCGCGGCCUAUCAGCUUGUUGGUGGGGUAAUGGCCUAUCAAGGCGGCGACGGGUAGCCGGCCUGAGAGGGUGGACGGCCACAUUGGGACUGAGAUACGGCCCAGACUCCUACGGAAGGCAGCAGUGGGGAAUAUUGCACAAUGGGCGCAAGCCUGAUGCAGCGACGCCGCGUGGGGGAUGACGGCCUUCGGGUUGUAAACUCCUUUCGCUAGGGACGAAGCUUUUUGUGACGGUACCUAGAUAAGAAGCACCGGCUAACUACGUG
rnacentral:rRNA from 1 species